rnacentral:rRNA from 1 species
AAAGCGAGUCUGAAUAGGGCGCAUAAGUAACAGGUCGUAGACCCGAAACCAGGUGAUCUACCCAUGUCCAGGAUGAAGGUAAGGUAAUACUUACUGGAGGUCCGAACCCACGCACGUUGAAAAGUGCGGGGAUGAGGUGUGGGUAGCGGAGAAAUUCCAAUCGAACUUGGAGAUAGCUGGUUCUCUCCGAAAUAGCUUUAGGGCUAGCCUCGAGGUAAAGAGUCAUGGAGGUAGAGCACUGUUUGGACUAGGGGCCCUUCUCGGGUUACCGAAUUCAGAUAAACUCCGAAUGCCAUGUACUUAUACUCGGGAGUCAGACUGCGAGUGAUAAGAUCCGUAGUCGAAAGGGAAACAGCCCAGACCACCAGUUAAGGUCCCCAAAUAUAUGUUAAGUGGAAAAGGAUGUGGGGUUGCUUAGACAACCAGGAUGUUGGCUUAGAAGCAGCCACCAUUGAAAGAGUGCG